rnacentral:rRNA from 1 species
CGGGUGAGGUAUGGUAUGGGGAUCGCUCGAUGGCGGGGGAUAACUACUGGAAACGGUAGCUAAUACCGCAUAACGUCGCAAGACCAAAGAGGGGGACCUUCGGGCCUCUUGCCAUCGGAUGUGCCCAGAUGGGAUUAGCUAGUAGGUGGGGUAACGGCUCACCUAGGCGACGAUCCCUAGCUGGUCUGAGAGGAUGACCAGCCACACUGGAACUGAGACACGGUCCAG